UGCCCUUGGAGCUGUUAUGCUGUAUUUCACGCACAGAAUUCUCUGACAAAAAAGGCAUACAUACGGUGGCAGAAAAGACAGUGUAGUUAAACAUGUUGGAGGAGGGGCUGAUUAAUCAUCCUGUUGUCGGUUUUGGAGAAUCCGGACGGAAGGCCAAUGAAAUUAGGAUUAUUCUAGCUAAAAUUGAGGAAUAUGAGUAGUCUGAACUUUUGGAUGACAAAUUUAGGUGUUGAAGCAGCUUCACCUUGAAGCUCAUGAACUUACGCUUCACGAUGAUGAUAUUGAGAGGGUUCAAAGGCCUUGGGAACUUGUCCCUGCCGAUCAUAAGA